AGUGAACGCUGGCGGUAGGCCUAACACAUGCAAGUCGAACGGCAGCACAGUAAGAGCUUGCUCUUACGGGUGGCGAGUGGCGGACGGGUGAGGAAUACAUCGGAAUCUACUUUUUCGUGGGGGAUAACGUAGGGAAACGUACGCUAAUACCGCAUACGACCUACGGGUGAAAGCAGGGGAUCUUCGGACCUUGCGCGAUUGAAUGAGCCGAUGUCGGAUUAGCUAGUUGGCGGGGUAAAGGCCCACCAAGGCGACGAUCCGUAGCUGGUCUGAGAGGAUGAUCAGCCACACUGGAACUGAGACACGGUCCAGAAUCCUACGGGAGGCAGCAGUGGGGAAUAUUGGACAAUGGGCGCAAGCCUGAUCCAGCCAUACCGCGUGGGUGAAGAAGGCCUUCGGGUUGUAAAGCCCUUUUGUUGGGAAAGAAAAGCAGCAGGUUAAUACCCCGCUGUUCUGACGGUACCCAAAGAAUAAGCACCGGCUAACUUCGUG
rnacentral:rRNA from 1 species